rnacentral:rRNA from 1 species
CCUACGGGAGGCAGCAGUGGGGAAUUUUGGACAAUGGGCGCAAGCCUGAUCCAGCAAUGCCGCGUGCAGGAUGAAGGCCUUCGGGUUGUAAACUGCUUUUGUACGGAACGAAAAAGUCUGCCCUAAUACGGUGGGCCCAUGACGGUACCGUAAGAAUAAGCACCGGCUAACUACGUGCCAGCAGCCGCGGUAAUACGUAGGGUGCGAGCGUUAAUCGGAAUUACUGGGCGUAAAGCGUGCGCAGGCGGUUAUAUAAGACAGAUGUGAAAUCCCCGGGCUCAACCUGGGACCUGCAUUUGUGACUGUAUAGCUAGAGUACGGUAGAGGGGGAUGGAAUUCCGCGUGUAGCAGUGAAAUGCGUAGAUAUGCGGAGGAACACCGAUGGCGAAGGCAAUCCCCUGGACCUGUACUGACGCUCAUGCACGAAAGCGUGGGGAGCAAACAGGAUUAGAUACCCUGGUAGUCCACGCCCUAAACGAUGUCAACUGGUUGUUGGGUCUUCACUGACUCAGUAACGAAGCUAACGCGNGAGUGACGCGNGGNGCGGCGCGAGUAGAGACGAGAGUAGNGCGNGNGAGNGCGACGACGACGACGAGGGAGGAGG